rnacentral:rRNA from 1 species
GCAACUCGCCUGCAUGAAGCUGGAAUUGCUAGUAAUCGCGGAUCAGCAUGCCGCGGUGAAUACGUUCCCGGGCCUUGUACACACCGCCCGUCACACCAUGAGAGUCGGGAACACCCGAAGUCCGUAGUCUAACCGCAAGGAGGGCGCGGCCGAAGGUGGGUCCGGUAAUUGGGGUGAAGUCGUAACAAGGUACC